rnacentral:misc_RNA from 1 species
AACUUUUGGCAAUGGAUCACUUGGUUCCCGCAUCGAUGAAGAACGCAGCGAAACGCGAUAGUUAAUGUGAAUUGCAGAAUUCAGUGAAUCAUCGAGUCUUUGAACGCACAUUGCGCCUUCCGGUAUUCCGGGAGGCACGUCCGUUUGAGCGUCAUUAAAACCUUCCGGUCCGCGGAUUUUUCGGAUUCCGCGGGCACGGGUUGCUGGCGCGGGGAUGCCGGCCGCCGCGCUCCGGCGCGGCCUGGCCCUCCCCCGCUUAAACGCGGAGAAAAGCUAGCGGGCAGGUGCCCCCAUCGCGAACGACUCGUAGUACACUCCCUGUCGUUGCCAGCCUUGGGACACGCCCCGCCUAUUCCAACCGCGGGUGUGAAACCACCCCCAGAACUCUUGACCUCAAAUCGGACGAGGAUACCCGCUGAACUUAAGCAUAUCAAUAAGCGGAGGCU